UUGGAAUCCAAUCUCACACCAUUGCUUCGAAAUCCGUCCGGUCAGAGGAGUGUCAGGACGCAGCUCCUUCCACAACUGUGCAAAAAACACAACAAUAGUGACUUGUGAGGCCAUCUUCAAGAGAACACAAGCUACAAGGUCGUAAGGCUCCCGCCGGAGCUUCUCCACCUCGGCCACCAAGUACCUGUAGCCCACAAUCUGCAGCAGGCUGGCCUGUAGGGAGAUGCCCAACCUGGGGGGAGGACAAACACAAUGGUGGAAGAAGUUUCACACAUGAAUUCCAUCAGGAAACGAAAUGCAAGCUCGCCACACCUCAGGAAGUGCUUCAUGAUGCCCGGCGUCUUGUCCACUGGAGUUGCUGCUGGGGGAUGACCUGCAAAGAGAACAUGAUGAUGGGAGUGCAAAGCGAAGCAGGCGACGUGCGGCUUCGUGUCUCCCCCGUCACUCGGCUCCAGACGUCCGCUUCGCCUCCAUGAUGACGCCGUUGUGCGAAGAUGCAGUCGAUAGGGGGCGCCAGAGCGCUCGGCAUCAG